UAGGGAAUCUUCCGCAAUGGACGAAAGUCUGACGGAGCAACGCCGCGUGAGUGAAGAAGGAUUUCGGUUCGUAAAACUCUGUUGUUAGGGAAGAAAAAAUGUAUAGUAACUAUAUACAAAAGAGACGGUACCUAACCAGAAAGCCACGGCUAACUACGUGCCAGCAGCCGCGGUAAUACGUAGGUGGCAAGCGUUGUCCGGAAUUAUUGGGCGUAAAGCGCGCGCAGGUGGUUUAGAAAGUCUGAUGUGAAAGCCCACGGCUCAACCGUGGAGGGUCAUUGGAAACUAAUAAACUUGAGUGCAGGAGAGAAAAGUGGAAUUCCUAGUGUAGCGGUGAAAUGCGUAGAGAUUAGGAGGAACACCGGUGGCGAAAGCGGCUUUUUGGCCUGCAACUGACACUGAGGCACGAAAGCGUGGGUAGCAAACAGG
rnacentral:rRNA from 1 species